rnacentral:rRNA from 1 species
UACAGAGGGGGCAAGCGUUGUUCGGAAUUACUGGGCGUAAAGGGCGCGUAGGCGGCCUGCUAAGUCGAACGUGAAAUCCCCGAGCUCAACUCGGGAACUGCGUCCGAUACUGGCAGGCUUGAAUCCGGGAGAGGGAUGCGGAAUUCCAGGUGUAGCGGUGAAAUGCGUAGAUAUCGGGAGGAACACCUGCGGUGUAGACGGCUUACUGGACCAUAACUGACGCUGAGGCACGAAAGCGUGGGUAGCAAACAGG